GGGCUUUGCUUGCGCAGGAUAGGUGGGAGGCUUUGAUGGUAUUCUUGCGGGAAUAUCGGAGCCAAUGGUGAGAUACCACUCUAGUAAGGCUAAAAUUCUAACUUCGAACCGUUAUCCGGUCGAAGAACAGUUUCAGGUGGGCAGUUUGACUGGGGCGGUCGCCUCCUAAAAGGUAACGGAGGCGUGCAAAGGUUCCCUCAGGCUGGUUGGACAUCAGUCGUAGAGUGUAAAGGCAUAGGGAGCUUGACUGCGAGACCAACAAGUCGAGCAGAGACGAAAGUCGGCCUUAGUGAUCCGACGGUUCCGAGUGGAAGGGCCGUCGCUCAACGGAUAAAAGUUACUCUAGGGAUAACA
rnacentral:rRNA from 1 species